rnacentral:rRNA from 1 species
CGGUUGAUCCCGCCGGAGAUCACUGCUAUCAGGAUUCGAUUAAGCCAUGCGAGUCGAGGGAGCUUAUACUCCCGGCAUACUGCUCAGUAACACGUGGAUAAUCUACCCUCAGGAGGUGGGACAAGCUCGGGAAACUGAGUACAAUACCCCAUAGAUCAAGGACGCUGGAAUGCCCCUUGGUCCAAAUGAAUUUCGCCUGAGGAUGAAUCUGCGGCCUAUCAGGUCGUAGUGAGUGUAACGGACUCACUAGCCUACGACGGGUACGGGCCUUGAGAGAGGUUACCCGGAGAUGGACUCUGAGACACGAGUCCAGGCCCUACGGGGCGCAGCAGGCGCGAAAACUUCGCAAUGCGGGAAACCGCGACGAGGGAAUCCUGAGUGCCUAUACAUUUGUAUAGGCUGUUUAUAUGCCUAAAAAGCUUGUAGAGUAAGAGCUGGGUAAGACCGGUGCCAGCCGCCGCGGUAAUACCGGCAGCUCGAGUGGUGAUCGUUAUUACUGGGCCUAAAGCGUCCGUAGCCGGUUGAGUAAAUCCCUGGGUAAAUCGUACAGCUUAACUGUACGGCUUCCGGGGAGACUGCUCGACUUGGGACCGGGAGAGGUUGGAGGUACUCCAGGGGUAGGGGUGAAAUCCUGUAAUCCUUGGGGGACCACCUGUGGCGAAGGCGUCCAACUAGAACGGCUCCGACGGUAAGGGACGAAGCCCUGGGUCGCAAAC